rnacentral:rRNA from 1 species
GCUGGCGGCAGGCUUAACACAUGCAAGUCGAGCGGGGAAGGGUAGCUUGCUACCUGACCUAGCGGCGGACGGGUGAGUAAUGCUUAGGAAUCUGCCUAUUAGUGGGGGACAACAUUCCGAAAGGAAUGCUAAUACCGCAUACGCCCUACGGGGGAAAGCAGGGGAUCUUCGGACCUUGCGCUAAUAGAUGAGCCUAAGUCUGAUUAGCUAGUUGGUGGGGUAAAGGCCUACCAAGGCGACGAUCUGUAGCGGGUCUGAGAGGAUGAUCCGCCACACUGGGACUGAGACACGGCCCAGACUCCUACGGGAGGCAGCAUUGGGGAAUAUUGGACAAUGGGCGGAACCCUGAUCCAGCCAUGCCGCGUGUGUGAAGAAGGCCUUUUGGUUGUAAAGCACUUUAAACGAGGAGGAAGCUACUUGGAUUAAUACUCUAGGAUAAUGGACGUUACUCUCAGAAUAAGCACCGGCUAACUCUGUG